AGUGAACGCUGGCGGUAGGCCUAACACAUGCAAGUCGAACGGCAGCACAGUAAGAGCUUGCUCUUACGGGUGGCGAGUGGCGGACGGGUGAGGAAUACAUCGGAAUCUACUUUUUCGUGGGGGAUAACGUAGGGAAACUUACGCUAAUACCGCAUACGACCUACGGGUGAAAGCAGGGGAUCUUCGGACCUUGCGCGAUUGAAUGAGCCGAUGUCGGAUUAGCUAGUUGGCGGGGUAAAGGCCCACCAAGGCGACGAUCCGUAGCUGGUCUGAGAGGAUGAUCAGCCAUACUGGAACUGAGACACGGUCCAGACUCCUACGGGAGGCAGCAGUGGGGAAUAUUGGACAAUGGGCGCAAGCCUGAUCCAGCCAUACCGCGUGGGUGAAGAAGGCCUUCGGGUUGUAAAGCCCUUUUGUUGGGAAAGAAAAGCAGCAGGUUAAUACCCCGCUGUUCUGACGGUACCCAAAGAAUAGGCACCGGCUAACUUCGUG
rnacentral:rRNA from 1 species